UGAGUACGAGAUGCUACGGCAUUGAAGCAGUCUAUGUCAUACUUCCAAGAAAAGCUUGCACUGUCAUAAACAAAGAAUGCCUGUACCAUAACCGACACAGGUGGGUAGGUAGAGUAUACUAAGGGGCGCGAGAUAACUCUCUCUAAGGAACUCGGCAAAAUGACUCCGUAACUUCGGGAGAAGGAGUGCCUUAUUUUUAAGGUUGCAAUAACAAGAUCCAAGCAACUGUUUAUCAAAAACACAGGUCUCCGCUAAGUCGUAAGACGAUGUAUGGGGGCUGACGCCUGCCCAGUGCCAGAAGGUUAAAGAAGUUGGUUAGCAUUCGCGAAGCUGAUAACUGAAGCCCUGGUGAACGGCGGCCGUAACAAUAACGGUCCUAAGGUAGCGAAAUUCCUUGUCGGGUAAGUUCCGACCCGCACGAAAGGCGUAAUGAUUUGGAUACUGUCUCGGAGAGGGACUCGGUGAAAUAGACUUGUCUGUGAAGAUGCGGACUACCUGCACCUGGACAGAAAGACCCUAUGAAGCUUUACUGUAACUUGAAAUUGAAAUUGGACUUUAGUUGCGCAGGAUAGGUGGGAGGCGUUGAGAAUAUUCUUGCGGGAGUAUUGGAGCCAUCAGUGAGAUACCACUCUUCUAAUGUUAGAUUUCUAACUUUGUAUCAUUAUCUGGUCAAGGAACAGUUUCAGGCGGGCAGUUUGACUGGGGCGGUCGCCUCCUAAAGGGUAACGGAGGCGCACAAAGGUUUCCUCUGAACGAGUAGAAAUCGUAUCUAGAGUGUAAAGGCAUAAGGAAGCUUGACUGUGAGACCUACAAGUCGAGCAGGGACGAAAGUCGGUCUUAGUGAUCUGACGGUGCUGAGUGGAAAGGCCGUCACUCAACGGAUAAAAGUUACUCUAGGAUAACAGGCUGAUCUCCCCCAAGAGUUCACAUCGACGGGGAGGUUUGGCACCUCGAUGUCGGCUCAUCGCAUCCUGGGGCGGUAGUACGUCCCAAGGGUUGGGCUGUUCGCCCAUGAAAGCGGUACGCGAGCUGGGUUCAGAACGUCGUGAGACAGUUCGGUCCAUAUCCGGUGUAGGCGUUAGAAUAUUGAGAGGAGCCUUCUCUUGUACGAGAGGACCGAGAAGGACAUACCUCUAGUGUACCAGUUAUCGUGCCAACGGUAAACGCUGGGUAGCUAUGUAUGGAGUGGAUAACCGCUGAAAGCAUCUAAGUGGGAAGCCCACCUCAAGAUAAG
rnacentral:rRNA from 1 species